rnacentral:rRNA from 1 species
CCUACGGGUGGCUGCAGUGGGGAAUAUUGGACAAUGGGCGAAAGCCUGAUCCAGCCAUGCCGCGUGUGUGAAGAAGGCCUUCGGGUUGUAAAGCACUUUCAGUGGGGAAGAAAGCCUUGGGGCUAAUACCCUCGAGGAAGGACAUCACCCACAGAAGAAGCACCGGCUAACUCCGUGCCAGCAGCCGCGGUAAUACGGAGGGUGCAAGCGUUAAUCGGAAUUACUGGGCGUAAAGCGCGCGUAGGCGGUCUGAUAAGCCGGUUGUGAAAGCCCCGGGCUCAACCUGGGAACGGCAUCCGGAACUGUCAGGCUAGAGUGCAGGAGAGGAAGGUAGAAUUCCCGGUGUAGCGGUGAAAUGCGUAGAGAUCGGGAGGAAUACCAGUGGCGAAGGCGGCCUUCUGGACUGACACUGACGCUGAGGUGCGAAAGCGUGGGUAGCAAACAGGAUUAGAUACCCCAGUAGU